rnacentral:rRNA from 1 species
AUUAGAUGCAAAUAAAAUUUAUUAUUUAUAGUUAAAAUGAGUAUAAUUUAAUUUAUAAUUAAAUUUAUUAGGUUAAAUUUUAAAUUUAAAAAAUUAUUAAUAAAUAAAUUUUUUGAAGCUUUGAAAUUUUAUUAUUAAACUAGGAUUAGAUACCCUAUUAUAAAAAAUGUAAUUAAAGAAAAAUAGAGUAGUAAUAGUUAUAUUCUUAAAACUUAAUAAAUUUGGCGGUAUUUUAAUCUAAUCAGAGGAACUUGUUUUAUAAUUGAUAAUCCUCAUUAAAUCUUACUUAAUUUAUUAGUUUGUAUACCAUCGUCAUAAGAAUCUCUUUAAAAAGUAAAAAUUUUCAGGAUAAUAAAUUAAUUAAUAUGUCAGAUCAAGGUGCAGCUUAUGAUUAAGAAAAAAUGAGUUACAAUAAAUUUAUUUAUACGAAAUAUAAAUUUAAAUAUUUAUAUGAAGGUGGAUUUGAUAGUAAAAUAAAUAAUUAAAUUUAUUUGAUUUUAGUUCUAAAAUAUGCACAUAUCGCCCGUCGCUCUCGUUAAUUAAAAUGAG